UUAUUAUGGCACGAGUCUGAAGUAUAAUUGCCACCUUACAUCGCUUUCCCUUUCUCCCCCUUUUGGCGAUUUAGGGUUUUCUCGUCUCCUGGGAAAUGGCUGAUUCUCCUCGCAAAAGGUAUUCGCGCUCUCCUUCUCCUUGGGAAGAAAAGUCAAGGUCUAGAUCCCCACCUGGAUCAUAUUCGAGGCCAAGGGGAAGAUCCAGGUCCAGAUCAAGGUCAAGAAGUCGUGGAAGGGAAGAAGUUUCUAAUCCUGGAAACACACUUUAUGUGACUGGUUUAUCUACAAGGGUGACGGAAAGGGACCUGGAGGAACAUUUCUCAAAGGAGGGAAAGGUGAAAUCAGUUUUUCUUGUCGUGGAACCACGUUCUCGGAUUUCUCGUGGUUUUGCUUUUAUAACGAUGGAUUCUCUUGAAGAUGCUAAUCGCUGCAUUAAACACCUGAAUCAGUCAGUUCUUGAAGGCCGUUACAUAACAGUGGAAAAGUCUCGAAGGAAACGUGCAAGGACUCCUACACCUGGUCACUAUCUCGGGCUUAAGAACGCAAGGGGUGAAGGUCGUGGUGACCGUGGUAGAUAUAGAGACCGUGAGGACUAUGGGUACCGAAGAUCUCCAAGGCAUUCACCAUAUAGAAGCAGACGAGAUUAUUCUCCUAGGCGCUCACCUUAUGGGGGAAGGUCAAGAAGGGAGCGUUCUAGGUCGUAUUCUCCUUAUGAAAGGGGCUAUGCUCGUGGUCCAAGAUAGGAGUUUAUCAAGUCCUAUGAAUUCCUAGAUGCAAGGGAAAACUGCUACUGAGGAUCUUUGUAUUUUGGUGUGUAGAGUGGGAAGAAGUAUUAUGCUAUUAAUGAAUGAAUAUUUGGUGUGUUUGUUCAUUGUGCUGAUGUAGAGCUAACUUUUAACUUUUACCUUUGUUUGCAAACUGAACAAUAUGAAAUCACAAACCGUGGGAAAUUUAGUUCUAGUGCUGAUGCUGGAAUUAUGGUCUGAUGAA